rnacentral:rRNA from 1 species
GACGAACGCUGGCGGCGUGCUUAACACAUGCAAGUCGAACGGUGAAAGCGGAGCUUGCUCCGCUGGAUCAGUGGCGAACGGGUGAGUAACACGUGGGCAACCUGCCCCUCACUUCGGGAUAACCCCGGGAAACCGGGGCUAAUACCGGAUAUGACCUCCUUGGGCAUCCUUGGAGGUGGAAAGUUUUUCGGUGAGGGAUGGGACGGCGGCCUAUCAGAUUGUUGGUGAGGUAGUGGCUCACCAAGGCGACGACGGGUAGCCGGCCUGAGAGGGCGACCGGCCACACUGGGACUGGGACACGGCCCAGACUCCUACGGGAGGCAGCAGUGGGGAAUAUUGCGCAAUGGGCGAAAGCCUGACGCAGCAACGCCGCGUGCGGGAUGACGGCCUUCGGGUUGUAAACCGCUUUCAGCAGGGAAGAAGCCGCAAGGUGACGGUACCUGCAGAAGAAGCACCGGCUAACUACGUGCCAGCCGCCGCAGUAA